rnacentral:lncRNA from 1 species
GGAAUGUUGAAGUUUCCAACUAUAAUUAUGAAUUUGUGUAUUUCUUAUCUCAGUUCUAGCAAGAAAACAAAGACCAGGGUGAUGAAGAAGUAACUGGGAGCCACAGUGGCUGUAACGAAAGCUAGACCAGAGCACCUGGAAUUAAACGAUGUUUUCAGUUGGUUUGAAUAGAAAGGCAGAUGCGCAAAAUGAAUACUGUACUCAGCUUCUUUUCGGAAGCCCAAGCGACCGUGCUCUGCGGCACAUUGCGGCCUUGGAGAGAACCAUCAGCAAUGGAGGAAAUGGACUUCGCGUGUGAUGUGAGGGGUUGACCGUACUUUGAAUCUUGUAUCCGUAUCUGUUGUGUUGACAGCGUUCACACGGAGAGUUCUUUCAAACGUAAAAUGUAAUUCUGUUGGUCACAGGCAAAAAAUCAUCAUGCUACAUCUUUUUUUUUUCGACAAUCAACUAGGGGGGCAGGGCGGGGGAGUAUUCUUUUAUGUGUUUCUUCCCCUAUGCAAUUCAAAAUGCAAGGCGGUAGAAUAAUAAAAUUAAAUGCGCAA